GUUAUAAUACUGAUUUUCAGUUCUACAGCUGCUUUUCUUUCCUUUUUCAUUUUAUUUCUUAUCUUUGCUCUUUGGCAGGGUGUUUUCUUCAGAUGGUAACAUUUUGGCAAUGAAAAUUGUUGCCAAGACAGCUUAUCUGUUCUUGCUUUCUCACAGAUUCACAUGUGGAGAGCAGUUAUAACAGUGCUUGAGCAUCUUUUUCUUCAUGACAGCGAAUUUGAGGGACCAGGGAAAGUCUUUUUAAGUAUAAAAUCAUUAUGGAUUCUGAUGCUUCAGAAUAUGGAGGGCAUCAAAGGUUGGACCACAAUACAGAGUACUUCUCUGAAGAAUAUCCGCAUAAUUAUCGACCUAAUUCAGUUAUGGUGUACAUUCCAAGCAGAGUGGCUAUUGUGCUUCAGAAUACAGAUGUCCCACAUUGAAGAUCUCUGUACCUAUCACUGAAGAAGCAAGUGAUAGAAGUGCUGAUACACUACUAAGUGUAACAAAACUAGCUCUGUUGAAUCUUUCUGAAGCUGAAUCUAGUAAUAUUAACGUUUUUUAAAACGCAAGAUUAAUAUCCACAUGCAAAUGCAGAGGUCUGUGCUUGUUAGAAGCUAUUUUGAAGAAAUGUUAAGGAAGAGAAAGAAGAAUGUUAUCUUUUUGGUAAUAAAAAUUUUCACUAACAAUACUUCA
rnacentral:lncRNA from 1 species